rnacentral:rRNA from 1 species
GAUGAACGCUAGCGGCAGGCUUAAUACAUGCAAGUCGAGGGGCAGCAUGAUUGUAGCAAUACAAUUGAUGGCGACCGGCAAACGGGUGCGGAACACGUACACAACCUCCCAAUAAGUGGGGAAUAGCUCAGAGAAAUUUGGAUUAAUACCCCGUAACAUAACGAUGGGGCAUCACAUUGUUAUUAUAGAUUUUUCGCUUAUUGAUGGGUGGGCGGCUGAUUAGAUAGUUGGCGGGGUAACGGCCCACCAAGUCUACGAUCAGUAGCUGAUGUGACAGCAUGCACAGCCACACGGGAACUGCGACACGGACCCAUACCCACCGGGAGGCAGCUGUAAGGAAUAUUGGACAAUGCACGCAAGUCUGGUCCAGCCAUCCCGCGUGAAAAAUUAAGGUCCUCUGGAUUGUCAACUUCUUUUAAAAGGGACGAAAAAAGGCUUUUCUAAGUCGUCUGACGGUACCUUAUGAAUAAGCACCGGCUAACUCCGUGCCAGCCGCCGCCGUAACAC